rnacentral:rRNA from 1 species
ACGUAGGGGGCGAGCGUUGUCCGGAAUGAUUGGGCGUAAAGGGCGCGUAGGCGGCCUGCUAAGUCUGGAGUGAAAGUCCUGCUUUCAAGGUGGGAAGUGCUUUGGAUACUGGUGGGCUGGAGUGCAGGAGAGGAAAGCGGAAUUACCGGUGUAGCGGUGAAAUGCGUAGAGAUCGGUAGGAACACCAGUGGCGAAGGCGGCUUUCUGGACUGAAACUGACGCUGAGGCGCGAAAGCGUGGGGAGCAAACAG